UGCAAGUCGGACGGGAUUCAGGGAGUAGCUUGCUACGAACUGAUGAGAGUGGCGCACGGGUGCGUAACGCGUGAGCAACCUACCCAUAUCAGGGGGAUAGCCUCUCGAAAGAGAGAUUAACACCGCAUAACAUCAUUUACCGGCAUCGGUUUUUGAUCAAAUAUUUAUAGGAUAUGGAUGGGCUCGCGUGACAUUAGCUAGUUGGAGAGGUAACGGCUCACCAAGGCUACGAUGUCUAGGGGCUCUGAGAGGAGAAUCCCCCACACUGGUACUGAGACACGGACCAGACUCCUACGGGAGGCAGCAGUAAGGAAUAUUGGUCAAUGGAGGCAACUCUGAACCAGCCAUGCCGCGUGCAGGAUGACUGCCCUAUGGGUUGUAAACUGCUUUUGUCAGGGAAUAAACCUUUCUACGUGUAGGAAGCUGAAUGUACCUGAAGAAUAAGGAUCGGCUAACUCCGUGCCAGCAGCCGCGGUAAUACGGAGGAUCCAAGCGUUAUCCGGAUUUAUUGGGUUUAAAGGGUGCGUAGGCGGUCCUAUAAGUCAGUGGUGAAAGACGGCAGCUUAACUGUCGCAGUGCCUUUGAUACUGUAGGACUUGAAUCUAUUUGAAGUGGGCGGAAUAAGACAAGUAGCGGUGAAAUGCAUAGAUAUGUCUUAGAACUCCGAUUGCGAAGGCAGCUCACUAAGUUAGUAUUGACGCUGAUGCACGAAAGCGUGGGGAUCAAACAGGAUUAGAUACCCUGGUAGUCCACGCCCUAAACGAUGAUAACUCGAUGUUUGCGAUACACAGUAAGCGUCCAAGCGAAAGCGUUAAGUUAUCCACCUGGGGAGUACGGUCGCAAGAUUGAAACUCAAAGGAAUUGACGGGGGCCCGCACAAGCGGAGGAGCAUGUGGUUUAAUUCGAUGAUACGCGAGGAACCUUACCCGGGCU
rnacentral:rRNA from 1 species